rnacentral:rRNA from 1 species
UCUGUAUGAUAGUUAUAUAAAGUCUGGCCUGCCCAUUGGGAACUAAAAGGCCGCGGUAUUAUGCCCGUGCGAAGGUAGCAUAAUCAUUAGUCUUUUAAUUGGAGGCUGGAAUGAAUGGUCGGACGAGAAGUAAGCUGUCUUUAUCUCAAAAGUUGAAUUUAACUUUUAAGUGAAAAGGCUUAAAUGAGUUAGGGGGACGAUAAGCCCCUAUAAAGUUUAACACUAGGUUUGUUAAAAGUGAUUUAGAAUAGUAAAGUUUAUUACUAGUAAGGUGUUUGGUUGGGGCGACUAGAAUAUAAGUUAUAUAACUGUUUUUUAUUUGAAUCAGAGAUAUCUGUUUAUAUGAUCCCUUUUUAGGAUUAAAGAGUAAAUUACUUUAGGGAUAACAGCGUAAUUUUUUUUGAGAGUUCUUAUCGACAAAAGAGUUUGCGACCUCGAUGUUGAAUUAAAAUUUCUUUGUGGUGUAGCAGUUACAAAAGAAGGUCUGUUCGACCU